rnacentral:misc_RNA from 1 species
AAAGAUAAAAACUUUUCAUCAAUCAUAGCCUUUUCUUUUGAUCACAACAAUGAUAUAUUGCCAGAGAUUUCUUCUUUUCAAAUAAUAGAGCGCAUGUUCUAAAAGAUUUGAUAGCAAAGCUAAAUACUGAUAAUCCUUCACAGCUUUAUGAGUUUGCUUAGUGAUUACAUGCGCAAAUCCUAGCACAUUUGCUUCUAUUUUAACCUGCUGUGAAACCCCCAAAAGGGUCACUACCACCAACAAUGUAAUAAGGCUAGGGUUUCUUAUUAUUUGCAUUGAUUGAAGUAACUCUUCCCA